rnacentral:lncRNA from 1 species
GCGCACAUCCUUCCUCUUCUCCGGCAUCGCGCGCCUCCUCCCUCUCCUCCGGUCGCGCGCGCCUCCUUCUUCUCCUCCGGUCGCGCGCCGCCUACCUCUCCUCCGGUCGCGCGCCGCCUACCUCUCCUCCGGUCGCGUGCCCCUCCUGCACUCUCGCCGAGCCUCUUCACGUCUACAGAAAAAAGGUAAGCAUCAUUAUUUUCGUCUGGUUAUAUUCUGAGUUAUUUUCGUCUGGUUAUGUUUGCUGCCCUUGAAGCUUUCCCUCGUUGUUGUUCUCAUUUAUGUGCUGAGCCCUUUUUCAGUGCCUUGGGUG